rnacentral:lncRNA from 1 species
CAUAACGCACGCUUCGACACAAACCCAGACACCAGGGGUAUCACCAAACCUUUUCACUAGGCAAUCCUCUCAGAAUUGGAUGUGGCUACUUUUAGAGUAACAGGUUUCACAGACUCAUACUCAACGAUCUUUUUCAUCCCCUUAGGAGAAGUCAAAUCGAUGGCAAGCUUCUCAACAGCAGACGAGCCCUAGCGAGCAAUAGAAGUAGUCAUUGGCUUCUUCUUG